UGCUAUGGUUCCAACGGCGGAGGCUUUGAAUCACAGUCAGGAACAUAAAAUGGUUCUGGAUUGUAGUUCAGCGCCUCCGCCAUUGAUCUUUAGCA
rnacentral:pre_miRNA from 1 species